AGGAGCUACCGGCUAUUCUUAACCUGCUAAGUUAAAGAAUCUGCGGUUUAAUUCCGUAGAGUUCCUG
rnacentral:tRNA from 1 species